GACGAACGCUGGCGGCGUGCUUAACACAUGCAAGUCGAACGGUGAACCUGGCUUCGGCCAGGGGAUCAGUGGCGAACGGGUGAGUAACACGUGAGCAACCUGCCCCUAGCUCUGGGAUAACCCCGGGAAACCGGAGCUAAUACCGGAUACGAGACCGAGUUGCAUGACACGGUCUGGAAAGUUUUUCGGCUAGGGAUGGGCUCGCGGCCUAUCAGCUUGUUGGUGGGGUAACGGCCUACCAAGGCGACGACGGGUAGCCGGCCUGAGAGGGCGACCGGCCACACUGGGACUGAGACACGGCCCAGACUCCUACGGGAGGCAGCAGUGGGGAAUAUUGGACAAUGGGCGCAAGCCUGAUCCAGCCAUGCCGCGUGA
rnacentral:rRNA from 1 species